GUAAGCUACUAAGAGCGAAUGGUGGAUGCCUUGACUGGUAAAGGCGAUGAAGGACGUACUAGACUGCGAUAAGCUACGGGGAGCUGUCAAGAAGCUUUGAUCCGUAGAUUUCCGAAUGGGGCAACCCAAUGUAUAGAGAUAUACAUUACCUAUAUAGGAGCGAACGAGGGGAAUUGAAACAUCUUAGUACCCUCAGGAAAAGAAAUCAAUAGAGAUUGCGUCAGUAGCGGCGAGCGAAAGCGCAAGAGGGCAAACCCAGUGCUUGCACUGGGGGUUGUAGGACUGCAAUGUGCAAGAGGUGAGUUUAGCAGAACAUUCUGGAAAGUAUAGCCAUAGAGGGUGAUAGUCCCGUAUGCGAAAAACAAACCUUAGCUAGCAGUAUCCUGAGUAGGGCGGGACACGAGAAAUCCUGUCUGAAGCUGGGUCGACCACGAUCCAACCCUAAAUACUAAUACCAGAUCGAUAGUGCACAAGUACCGUGAGGGAAAGGUGAAAAGAACUGAGGUGAUCAGAGUGAAAUAGAACCUGAAACCAUUUGCUUACAAUCAUUCAGAGCCCUAUGUAGCAAUACAGGGUGAUGGACUGCCUUUUGCAUAAUGAGCCUGCGAGUUGUGGUGUCUGGCAAGGUUAAGCAAACGCGAAGCCGUAGCGAAAGCGAGUCUGAAUAGGGCGCUUAGUCAGAUGCUGCAGACCCGAAACGAAGUGAUCUAUCCAUGAGCAAGUUGAAGCUAGUGUAAGAACUAGUGGAGGACUGAACCCAUAGGCGUUGAAAAGCCCCGGGAUGACUUGUGGAUAGGGGUGAAAGGCCAAUCAAACUUCGUGAUAGCUGGUUCUCUCCGAAAUAUAUUUAGGUAUAGCGUUGUGUCGUAAUAUAAGGGGGUAGAGCACUGAAUGGGCUAGGGCAUACACCAAUGUACCAAACCCUAUCAAACUCCGAAUACCUUAUAUGUAAUCACAGCAGUCAGGCGGCGAGUGAUAAAAUCCGUCGUCAAGAGGGAAACAACCCAGACUACCAGCUAAGGUCCCUAAAUCUUACUUAAGUGGAAAACGAUGUGAAGUUACUUAAACAACCAGGAGGUUGGCUUAGAAGCAGCCAUCCUUUAAAGAAAGCGUAAUAGCUCACUGGUCUAGUGAUUUUGCGCGGAAAAUAUAACGGGGCUAAAGUAAGUACCGAAGCUGUAGACUUGAUUUUAUCAAGUGGUAGGAGAGCGUUCUAUUUGCGCCGAAGGUAUACCGGUAAGGAGUGCUGGAGCGAAUAGAAGUGAGCAUGCAGGCAUGAGUAGCGAUAAUUAAUGUGAGAAUCAUUAACGCCGUAAACCCAAGGUUUCCUACGCGAUGCUCGUCAUCGUAGGGUUAGUCGGGUCCUAAGUCGAGUCCGAAAGGGGUAGACGAUGGCAAAUUGGUUAAUAUUCCAAUACCAACAUUAGUGUGCGAUGGAAGGACGCUUAGGGCUAAGGGGGCUAGCGGAUGGAAGUGCUAGUCUAAGGUCGUAGGAGGUUAUACAGGCAAAUCCGUAUAACAUACUCCGAGAACUGAAAGGCUUUUUGAAGUCUUCGGAUGGAUAGAAGAACCCCUGAUGCCGUCGAGCCAAGAAAAGUUUCUAAGUUUAGCUAAUGUUGCCCGUACCGUAAACCGACACAGGUGGGUGGGAUGAGUAUUCUAAGGCGCGUGGAAGAACUCUCUUUAAGGAACUCUGCAAAAUAGCACCGUAUCUUCGGUAUAAGGUGUGGUUCGCUUCGUAUUAGGAUUUACUCCGAAAGCGAAGAAACUUACAACAAAGAGUCCCUCCCGACUGUUUACCAAAAACACAGCACUCUGCUAACUCGUAAGAGGAUGUAUAGGGUGUGACGCCUGCCCGGUGCUCGAAGGUUAAUUGAUGGGGUUAGCAUUAGCGAAGCUCUUGAUCGAAGCCCGAGUAAACGGCGGCCGUAACUAUAACGGUCCUAAGGUAGCGAAAUUCCUUGUCGGUUAAAUACCGACCUGCAUGAAUGGCGUAACGAGAUGGGAGCUGUCUCAAAGAGGGAUCCAGUGAAAUUGUAGUGGAGGUGAAAAUUCCUCCUACCCGCGGCAAGACGGAAAGACCCCGUGGACCUUUACUACAGCUUGACACUGCUAUUUGGAUAAGAAUGUGCAGGAUAGGUGGGAGGCUUUGAGUAUAUGACGCCAGUUGUAUAUGAGCCAUUGUUGAGAUACCACUCUUUCUUAUUUGGGUAGCUAACCAGCUUGAGUUAUCCUCAAGUGGGACAAUGUCUGGUGGGUAGUUUGACUGGGGCGGUCGCCUCCCAAAUAAUAACGGAGGCUUACAAAGGUUGGCUCAGAACGGUUGGAAAUCGUUCGUAGAGUAUAAAGGUAUAAGCCAGCUUAACUGCAAGACAUACAAGUCAAGCAGAGACGAAAGUCGGUCUUAGUGAUCCGGUGGUUCUGUGUGGAAGGGCCAUCGCUCAAAGGAUAAAAGGUACCCCGGGGAUAACAGGCUGAUCUCCCCCAAGAGCUCACAUCGACGGGGAGGUUUGGCACCUCGAUGUCGGCUCAUCGCAUCCUGGGGCUGGAGCAGGUCCCAAGGGUAUGGCUGUUCGCCAUUUAAAGCGGUACGCGAGCUGGGUUCAGAACGUCGUGAGACAGUUCGGUCCCUAUCUGCCGUGGGCGUAAGAAGAUUGAAGAGAUUUGACCCUAGUACGAGAGGACCGGGUUGAACAAACCACUGGUGUAGCUGUUGUUCUGCCAAGAGCAUCGCAGCGUAGCUAAGUUUGGAAAGGAUAAAUGCUGAAAGCAUCUAAGCGUGAAGCCAACUCUAAGAUGAAUCUUCUCUAAGCUCUCUAGAAGACUACUAGUUUGAUAGGCUGGGUGUGUAAUGGAUGAAAGUCCUUUAGCUGACCAGUACUAAUAGAGCGUUUGGCUUAUCUUU
rnacentral:rRNA from 1 species